AUCGGAGCAGGGUUUGGCAUUACCAAUGCGCGAGAAGACCCCGCACGAGAAAGCCCCUGUGCACGAGAGCGCCCCAACCAAAUAUGGAAGUUUUCGCUGCAGCGAAUUGCUUAUCAGCGGUUGGUAGGUAAAAAGGAAUAGAAAUUCUCUGAGUAAUCAGACGAGCCUGUUGAACAAAGUCUACGAAGAUACGAGAGCAAAGUCUACGAAGAUACCAGUUUUAUAAAUACCUGGUAAGUUAUCGGUAUGUUUAUUUUACAUUUGAGACUAGUUGUUCAACGUCAUAUAGCCAUUAUGAUUGAUAAACAGAAUUAGCUAAAAAGCAUCUUGCUAAGGGUCACGUCCAUAUUCAUGUUGCCACGCAUAACGUCGCCUAAAUAACGUCGAGCGUGGCAGUCACAUUGUUCAAAACCUUCACAAAAUUGUAAUUUUGCCACGAGAUUAUCGAGAUAACGUCGAGAGAAUUGAGAUAAACCCAUCGACGUUAUGCGUGGCAAUAUGAAUAUGGACGUUGACCCCUAACAGAUCGCCAACACAAACGUGCAUACAAACAUGACAUUGCAAACAGCAGAACAUAUCUUAUUUAUGCUGGUCGUUUCGUUUUGUAUUAACUAUUAAUACCGUAUUUAAUGGAAUAUUUGAAUGGAUAUUUUUAAUUUUGGCAAGUACUGUAGUGUAAAUUAUUUACGAGAAAAUGUCAUAUUCCACUUGCCAGGAUGUUUUGGUUGUUUUGACAGUUUAUCACAAUCUCUUUGUACCUUCAUUCCAACCCAGAUUGUCCAGUUAGUGAGUGUUUAAUUAAUAUAUGGGAAGAUUUUCAAGUGAGAUUACAUGAACACAAAUUACCCUUUUAUUAUUUGUACUAUAAUAUAUAACAACAGCAAAUUCUUGUGUAAUAUUAUUGUCAAUUCCAUGAGUAACCACCCCCCCCCACCCCCCCGCACCGGGAAUUUGCUGGGAACGCCAUUCCCGGGGGCCAUGCAUUUGCUUUCAGAUUAGUGUACUGGGGCCGGACAUUGUUUGGCGGCUAAAAGACCCCUGGACAUUUGACACUAGCGAAAAAAGAAAGAAUGUGAGAUUUGUUAGUUGAAGCUUGUUAAUGUUAAUAAUACAAAAUAAUAUUUGAUAAUACACUGUUACUGAACUAAAUUUAAUACCAGAUUAAGUUGGAUGGUUUAUACCCCCAUGCAUUAUGUGAUUUUUGCUAUGCAUUAUGCAAUUUUUAACAAUAUUGAUGAAAGCAUUUUUUUUUUAAUCCCGGAGUGGGACAUUUGCCACCUAACGGUUGUGCAGGGCUGUUCAUUUUCUCUCCUGCUGUCUCGCAGCGGCUGGGAAUUAUCCCUUUCUUUCCAAAAAAAUGCUAAUGUCUGGGUAUAUUCCCAGGAGGUGUGGGGGCGGGGGAUGGUUACUCAUGGAAUUGACUCAUGCAUAAUUGUUGUGUGACUUGUGUCCAUUAUGGCACGCCGUUUCAGCCAAAAGUAUUCGAGAAAUUAUCAGAAUUCAUGUCAAGAAUCAGCCAAAAGUGAGAUUUUACAACUAUUCGUGAUUUUACAGCCAUUUGAGACUUUUUAGCUUUUUGAGAUUUUAAGAACCAUUCGAGAUUUUACAACCAUUUUAGACUUCUAACUUUAGAGCUAUUCGACAUUUUACAGCUAUUCAACAUUUUACAACCAUUCGAGAUAUUACAACCAUUUGAGAUUUUACAACCAUUUGAGACUUAAUUCUAACUUAUUCACUAUUUCAACAAAACUCGAUCCCAUGAAAAUACCUGUAUCUUUAUUGCCUCCAUUAAAUUUAAUUUCGUCCAUAAUAUUACAUCUUCUGUUUGGUGAAAUGGGCCUUCCGUUUUGAAAACAAAGGCUUCUAUAAAUUCAACUUUAAUUUAAUCCCACCCCUUAGAAACAUUGUCAUUUGACCCUAGAAACUUAUAAUAUGCCAUGGGCCCCAAUGUUGAACAGCCCAACGCACGCUUAUAAUAUGCCAUGGGCCCCUUCUUCCAUGAUCCAACUUAUCGCUGUUAUUACCAUGGUCAACCAUCUUCGGCAUUUCAUUAAUUAAUAUCUAUGUUUCUACUCCUUGGAGUCCAUGAAAAGGCACCUGUUACAGCCGGUUCUUUUUGACCAUAAAACAUGACCGUUUCUUGUGUCAAAUGACAAUUAAUGUUUCUAAGGGGUGGAUAAACCAGAAAGGCCGUUGUUUUCCGAAAAGCCCAUUUCUGUAAUUUCACCAAACAGAAGAUUCUCGACAUGAAUUCUGGUUCUCAAUACUUUUGGCCGAUUCUCAACAUGAAUUCUGAUUCUCGAAUACUUUGGGCCUUCUACUAGAAUAUUAACCCAUUAAGCACCAGCACUCUCCCCUUGAUGAGUAAAAUCAUCUGGCAUUAGACAGAGUAAAAUAAUAACAUAGGGUGCUGAUGGCUGCAAUGUGACUCAAUUCCACAGAAUAUUAAUUUUAAAAAAAUAAUUAAGUCUAUGAAAUCUUGCCCCAAAACCCCCAGGAAGAAAACUAUAUUGAUAGACUAUACUAAAAAAUAUUAAGGAACCAUAUUAUAUACAUUAGACAAAAGAUAUGGAUCAUGUAAAUUUUUGUGGUAUUCUGUGGUACAUACACCUGUACAGUACAGAUCGAAGCUAGUCGCUGAGCUGUAACUGCAAGUUUAUCAACAUGUAUAUAUAACUGCAAGUUUAUCUACAUGUAUUUGGGUGUGCGGGUUGUGAUAAGGUCAGGAUGUGUAUAUAUCUGCUCACUUGGAUUAUUUUUAUUUAUUUAUUUAUUUAUUUAUUUAUUUAUUAUGCUUUAAUUGCCAAUUUCACACUAUCAUAUCUGCACAAAUACAAACACAAGAAUAUACAAACUAUCAAUCAAUCAAUGGCAGGGUAUAUGCUACAGCUUUGCGCCAAUUACAGCAGCCCUUACAGAACGAACAUGACACAUUCUACAUUAGAUCUUUAGUAAUAUAAAAAGGCCAGUUUGCACCCAGGAAAACCCUCCGCAGGAUAGUAACGGAAGGAAAGUGUACAUAGUGCUAAAGUCGUUAGUUUCAAUGCCGUGCGCUCCUGCGGAAAAUUUUAUUGAGUGGAAAUUAGCUGACAAUGAAGAUUAACAAGACCAACACAGGGACACACAUUAGAAUUAAUAACAACACAAAUUUGAACAAGACAAAUUACGGGACUUGUUACAAGACAAACAUAUAGACUUCCAUGUUCUAGGAUUUUUUAUCUAGCAAACCCAGCAUUCUAGUUCACCCAAGUGAAGUGCUAACCAGGGGUGGAAAAAUAUUUUACUUUCUGGGACUGCAAGAGAACAUUGCACAUUUCUGCAAAUAAUAAAGUAAAUUGACACUCGGACACUGUAACUAUGUGAUGUUAUCAAACUGAAUGUCAUGUUAUAUUUUAAAUUAACAGAAAAAUAUUAAUUAACAUAAAACUAAUUUAGAUAACAUGCAUCAAGGGUCUGAUCCUAAGGUGAAUAGAGAUGCUUAAAAAGGCACUACUAGGGGGGCACUAGCAGGGGGAUCCAUGCCCCCCAGAAAAUUAGGCAUUCCAGAUUGGCUAAAAAUGAAUUUGCCAUAGAACAUUUGUUACAUUAUUCUAUAGUCUUACACUAUUAAGAUGGAUAAUUAUUGCAUUUCUAAGGUCAUACCUACAGCACAGGUGACUUUUUUUCUAUUAGUUAGAAUUUUUCCUUUUAUCUAUUAAAUUUUUACAUUAAUUAUCCUUUUUCUUUCUUGGGGAACUAUUUUCUGGGAACUAUAUAUAUAUAUGCUUGGAUUUUUAUUUUUUUUUAAAUAUAUUCGCCCAAUUUAAUUACAAAAAUUUUGAUUAUUAUAUUUACAUGUUUAUUAUCUAGGGCUAGGGGCCUACUAGAAACCAUCAAAAGGCUUUUGAUUAAGACCCCUAGUUACAUUUUAAAUUACAAAAUAAGGAUCCUAUUUACAAACAAAACUAGGUGACAGUGCUUCAAGUGAGGUGCAAUAUGAUAAAGUAUUUACAUAUAGUGCUACAGUAAAUAAAAUGUUAUGAUCACAAAAGUGUAUUAUUAUUAAUUCAUAUAAAAUUUGAUAUUGCAGAUGUUGUUUUGGUAGUAGUUUUUCAGUUAUUCAGUAUGUAGUAUUUUUUCGAUUUUUUCUUGAAUAUAUAGUAAGAUGCUAUAUUUUUAAAGUUUGGGUCAAGAUUAUUCCAGAUAUCAACUCCCUUGUUAGAGAGUGAAUGUUUGACAUAGUUUGUUCUUUGAUAAGGCUUAUCCACCAAACUCAGCAUAUAUCUAUUUUUCAAAAACAUGGUCAUGAAUAAAGAACUGUCAGAUGGAGUGUUUCAUUUUAAGAAAAAUUUUGUUUAUAUAAUAGUACACAACAUGUCUAGACUAUAAAUGUCUCAUCUGUGACUAUUUCUUUAAUAAACCUUUUGCAUACUAAACUUGAAAGAUAAUAUUCA
rnacentral:lncRNA from 1 species